GCUCCCUGCGAAUAAAGCCGGGGCCCGCCCCUACCGCCUACCGGAGGGUUCGCAUUCUCCCGCCUUCGCUCCGCCGCCCGGGCGAUUGGUCUGCCGGCUCCGGGCUAGGGGGGGAGGGUGUGGGGGGCGGCCAAACGGCAGGCCGCGCCCCGCCCCCCUUAAAGGGGAAGCCCGGGGAGCCAGUCUCUGCGCCUCGCGUCUGAAUGGGACCCGGGAGGGGAGGCGGCUCGGUCCUUCGUGCCGUCCUCCCCGCUGGGAGGGGCAGCUCCAGCUCCGCUCGGCUCGCUCCGCCCGGCCACACCGGCUUUUUCCCCAUCAGGCGGUCCGAGUGCGGCUCCUCGCUAGCCUGCAAAGGAGCAGCAGGCGGUUCCUUUUCGGACGACCUGGAGCGAGGCCUGCGGGACUGCGCGCCCCGGCGGGCGGCGGGCGGCUCCCGGCAUGCGCGGCGGCUGCGUUCCCGCCGCCUCCGAGCUCGCCUGGGGCUGCCGCCCGCCUCCUGCCGGGCCCUCGGGCUCGCCCGGCACCGCGGGGCUUGAUCAGGGAGGUAGGCGGUGCUCCCUCCGGCCCCCGGCGUCGUGUGCCCUGCGGGUUUCGUGGCCCUCCCCCUACGCUGGAAUCUUCUGUGUCAUUUAGGGGGAGGGGAUGCGGGACGGCAUCUGUUUGACAACGCAUUGGUCCCACAGACAGCCUUUAAAAACAACUGCUUUUGGGGGGUGUCAGAACAUUUAAGCACAGGACGUCGGUGAGGCUUCCUGGCGGAGUGGGGCACACGCCAGCUUUACGGGACUUUUUGCUCAGUCCUGCCCCAGGACUGCAAUCGGAGGGGACCUGGGGCAUGGAGGAGACGCGAGUGAAAACCUAGUCAGCGGGCGGGCCCUCGGCCCCAUAAUCUACGUGAUCUCCUAGUGGGGUUUAAUUUCGGUGUAGUGUAAAUGAGAUGUCAGGCAGAGGAGCUGAUUUUAAUUACAGAUGGACAUUUUUGAAAGAAAUGGGUGCAAAUAGAAUGAACGCAUGGAUAAUUUUAAUGGAAUGCCUAUGUAAACAAGCCCAAUUAAAUGAUAUCUUCAGGGAAAAGACUUCGAAAAAGUGCCUGAAGUGACAGAACACAUGUUUUCUUCUGGUAUCUGGCUAAAGAAUGAAAUCUGGCAGAAAUAUUUAAUGAAGAGGAAUCUGAACAUAGCAGUUGAGAAAGAAAGAUUGGGAGAAGACUCCAGAUGUCGUAAAGCAAAGAGAGGAUGAAGCACAGGAAGCAGCUCUUAUUAUUUCUGUUGCACUUUGGCUCAGAGAACUCCAAGCAAUUGAUUCUAUCCUAAGGACAUAUUUUUUCAAUUUGAGAUAUAAUUAAUUUGUUUUCCAGUAAAAUAGAUAUUAGUAGAUCUAUGACAUACAGGAAACAAUCGAAAAUAGAGAUAAGUGGUAAUAAUACCUCAUUACUUAAGACAUCUUUUUCAGAAAAUUAUUCUUCAGUGUGUGGUGCAUUGGCUUUCUAGGAAAGAAUGGGAGGGAGAACCCUGCUGACAUGAAUAAUGGCCUGGGGGAGAGGGGGAGAGAAGCAAGAGAAAGGAGCAGUUAAGAGGAAAAUGAUGUCAUCUGGAAAGAAGGAAAUAGAUCAGGGCGUCUUUAAGAGCUAAUAUCAAUUGGGUUUAGUGUCUGUAUUUAGAGGAUGGGAGAGAAGAGGUAUCAUCUAGGGUUUUGGCUUGGGCCACAGGUAGAUCUUGUUAAGGCUGUACGAAAUAGAAAAUCCAGGAGGUAACGCAGGUGUGUGGGGGAAAUGAUACAAAUGUAAAUCAUACAAGGAUAUGAACCCUGUAGAUUUUACAACUUUGAGCUCUAUCCUUCUUAGGCCUCCUCUUCUAAGCAGCAUAAACUACUGCUGCCUACAUGUUGCCUGUUCAUAAAGGCUGAGGCAGGGGAGUCGCUUGAACUCGGGAGGCGGAGGUUGCAGUGAGCCGAGAUCAUGCCAUUUCCCUCCAGCCUGGCGACAGAGCAAGACUCCAUCUCAAAAAAAAGAAAAGAGAAGAAAAAAACAAAGAACUUUAUGCACCUUCUGGAAUAACAAAAUGCAAAUGUAAUGUUAUCUACCAGGAUAGAAAUUGGAGGCUAGAAUAUGUUGGGUAGGGUAGAGAGACUAGAGGGAAUGAUUUAGCAAUAAAAUAGGUUUAAAUAUCUUCUCACGUGCCCAGACUUAAUUAGCUUUGUAUUAUUCCUAUUAGUAAGCCAAGAAUUAGUACUAGGUGAUAAGCAAGGAUGCGCAGGGCCUUGUGAGGAAAAGAGUUACUGUAGCAGUUCUGGAUGCUUACCCCUUGCAUGUCUCCAGGGGAACCAUCUUUGACCUUGGCCAACCCCUGGAUUGCAAUCCUUGGAGUGUUCUUUAUGUUAGUGAUGAUGAUUUUGUUGUA